ACCAUUCUUUUGUUGGGUUUGUGCUACUGUCCAAUGAGCGCGUGGUGAGAGCAGUACUGCUAACACCUACCAAAAAAAAAAAAAAGCAAAAAUAAACAUGAAAAA
rnacentral:snRNA from 1 species